rnacentral:rRNA from 1 species
UACGUAGGUGGCAAGCGUUAUCCGGAUUUAUUGGGCGUAAAGAGAACGCAGGCGGUCUUUUAAGUCUGAUGUGAAAGCCUUCGGCUUAACCGGAGUAGUGCAUUGGAAACUGGGAGACUUGAGUGCAGUAGAGGAGAGUGGAACUCCAUGUGUAGCGGUGAAAUGCGUAGAUAUAUGGAAGAACACCAGUGGCGAAAGCGGCUCUCUGGUCUGUAACUGACGCUGAGGUUCGAAAGCGUGGGUAGCAAACAGG